rnacentral:lncRNA from 1 species
UCGAUUUUGCCAAGUCAUCAUUGUUUGGGCUAUAAUAAUACCAUCAAAUAAUGAUGGUGUGAUGUCACCUAAUCAUUACUUUUAAUUGAUGGGUUGACCAAGAGGUACUAAUGUCAAUGGCGCUAAGUGGCAUGGUCUAAUUGGGUAAGGUGGAAAGUGUAUUAGUUACGGCAAGUUUCUAGACUUCAUUAUGUCUCUGGAAAUGAUGACAGUCUUUAACUCGAGCUAAUCUCAUGGGUAUUACGUCCUACCUUAGUAAUAGAUCGUUAUUGAGAGGAUCUAUUCGUUU